CAGAGGGUGCAAGCGUUAAUCGGAAUUACUGGGCGUAAAGCGUGCGUAGUCGGUUAUCUAAGUCGGAUGUGAAAUCCCCGGGCUCAACCUGGGAAUUGCAUUCGAUACUGGGUAGCUAGAGUUCGGCAGAGGGAAGCGGAAUUUCUGGUGUAGCGGUGAAAUGCGUAGAUAUCAGAAGGAACAUCAGUGGCGAAAGCGGCUUCCUGGACCAGAACUGACGAUCAGGCACGAAAGCGUGGGAGCAAACAGGAUUAGAUACCCUGGUAGUCCACGCCAUAAACGAUGACAACUAGACGUUGGGGACAUAUGGUCCACAGUGUCGCAGCUAACGCGUUAAGUUGUCCGCCUGGGAGUACGGCGCAAGGUUG
rnacentral:rRNA from 1 species